rnacentral:RNase_P_RNA from 1 species
GCAGCCGCGCUACCUUCGGGUCGCGAGGAAAGUCCGGGCUCCACGAAACAAGGGUGGCGGGUAACGCCCGCCGGUCUCUCGUAAGAGGGGCAAGGGAAAGUGCCACAGAGAGUAAACCGCCGAUGGGCCGGAGACGGCCACAGGCAAGGGUGAAAGGGUGCGGUAAAAGCGCACCGGGGCUCUGGCAACAGCGCCCGCAUGGCAAACCCCACCCGGAGCAAGGCCAAAUAGGGGUCUCGCGCUCGCCCUCAGGGCAGGGCAGGGGUGUUUCGCCCCGAGAGACCCGGGUUGGCUGCUAGAGCCGUCUGGCAACAGGCGGAGCAGAUGAAUGGCUGCCACC